GGAUGCUUGGUCCAGUGGCAAGACACUCGCAACAUAGCCAGCGCCAGGUGAAGGAGACCCCGUAACGGGUGCCCAUCAGGGCUGUUGAUCGACCCACCGAAACGCUUGGUCAUUGCGAGAGACCUGUGUUCGAUUCACAGAGCAUCCA